CGGCGAACGGGUGAGUAACACGUGGGUAACCUGCCCCAGACACUGGGAUAACACCGGGAAACCGGUGCUAAUACCGGAUAUUCUCGGCGGAUCGCAUGACCUGCCGAGGAAAGCUCCGACGGUCUGGGAUGGGCCCGCGGCCUAUCAGCUUGUUGGUGGGGUAACGGCCUACCAAGGCUUCGACGGGUAGCUGGCGUGAGAGCGUGGCCAGCCACACUGGGACUGAGACACGGCCCAG
rnacentral:rRNA from 1 species